rnacentral:rRNA from 1 species
UACGUAGGGGGCAAGCGUUGUCCGGAAUCAUUGGGCGUAAAGCGCGUGUAGGCGGCUGGGUAAGUCCGCUCUGAAAGCCCGGGGCUCAACCCUGGGAGGCGGGUGGAUACUGCUCAGCUCGAGUCCGGAAGAGGAGUGUGGAAUUCCUGGUGUAGCGGUGAAAUGCGCAGAUAUCAGGAGGAACACCAGUGGCGAAAGCGGCUUCCUGGUCCAGUACCGACGUUCAGACACGAAAGCGUGGGGAGCAAACAGG